UACGUAGGGUGCAAGCGUUAAUCGGAAUUACUGGGCGUAAAGCGUGCGCAGGCGGUUUUGUAAGUCUGUUGUGAAAUCCCCGGGCUUAACCUGGGAAUGGCAAUGGAGACUGCAAGGCUAGAGUUUGGCAGAGGGGGGUAGAAUUCCACGUGUAGCAGUGAAAUGCGUAGAUAUCUGGAGGAACACCGGUGGCGAAGGCGGCAUCCUGGACCGGCAUUGACGCUGAGGCGCGAAAGCCAGGGGAGCAAACGGG
rnacentral:rRNA from 1 species